rnacentral:rRNA from 1 species
UAGGGAAUCUUCGGCAAUGGACGAAAGUCUGACCGAGCAACGCCGCGUGAGUGAAGAAGGUUUUCGGAUCGUAAAACUCUGUUGUUAGAGAAGAACAAGGACGUUAGUAACUGAACGUCCCCUGACGGUAUCUAACCAGAAAGCCACGGCUAACUACGUGCCAGCAGCCGCUGUAAUACGUAGGUGGCAAGCGUUGUCCGGAUUUAUUGGGCGUAAAGCGAGCGCAGGCGGUUUCUUAAGUCUGAUGUGAAAGCCCCCGGCUCAACCGGGGAGGGUCAUUGGAAACUGGGGGACUUGAGUGCAGAAGAGGAGAGUGGAAUUCCAUGUGUAGCGGUGAAAUGCGUAGAUAUAUGGAGGAAAACCAGUGGCGAAGGCGGAAAUCUGGUCUGUAACUGACGAUGAGGCUCGAAAGCGUGGGGAGCAAACAGG